GAUGAAGAACGCAGCGAAAUGCGAUAAGUAGUGUGAAUUGCAGAAUUCAGUGAAUCAUCGAGUCUUUGAACGCACAUUGCGCCCCCUGGUAUUCCGGGGGGCAUGCCUGUCCGAGCGUCAUUGCUGCCCAUCAAGCACGGCUUGUGUGUUGGGUCCUCGUCCCCCCCGGGGGACGUGCCCGAAAGGCAGCGGCGGCACCGCGUCCGGUCCUCGAGCGUAUGGGGCUUUGUCACCCGCUCUGCAGGCCCGGCCGGCGCUGGCCGACGCGAAAGCAACCAUUUUUUCUCCAGGUUGACCUCGGAUCAGGUAGGGAUACCCGCUGAACUUAAGCAUAUCAAUAAGCGGAGGA
rnacentral:misc_RNA from 1 species